CUGGAUAUAGUAUAAUUUAUUUAACAAACCAUUCAUUGUUGGACAUCUAGAUUCUACAGAUUUUUAACCAUCAUAAAUAAUGUUGAAAUAAAGACUUUUGUAGAAAUGUAUUUGUGUUCAUCCAUGAUGACAGGAUAAAUUCCAACAUGUGAGAUUUCUUGGUCAAGGAAUAUGUAAAAUUCUAUUAUUGAUUUUUUUUUUUGCAGGCACUGUCAAGUUGCCCUUUUGAAGGAAUAUGCAAGUUUUGAGUAGAAGAGUAUCACUUCUCUUUAGUCUUUCUGACAUUAGGCAGGCAAAACAGAGCAAACAAAAGACCUUUCAUAAAAAUAACUUCUUACUCUAACUUCUGUGCACGAAAUCUGCUGAGAAGACAAAUAACAAUCACAAAAGGAAGGAAAACAUAAACCAGGUUUGUUCCCCAAAUCUUUCGUAGGGUACCAAUGUUGAUAUUUAAGUGAAAAGUUUCUGCAAGAUCCUGUAAGUAAGCCUGAACU
rnacentral:lncRNA from 1 species